rnacentral:rRNA from 1 species
GACGAACGCUGGCGGCGUGCUUAACACAUGCAAGUCGAACGGAAAGGCCCUGCUUUUGUGGGGUUCCCGAGUGGCGAACGGGUGAGUAACACGUGAGUAUCCUGCCCUUGACUUUGGGAUAACUUCAGGAAACUGGGGCUACUACAGGAUAGGAGCUGCUGCUGCAUGGUGGGGGUUGGAAAGUUUCGGCGGUUGGGGAUGGACUCGCGGCUUAUCAGCUUGUUGGUGGGGUAGUGGCUUACCAAGGCUUUGACGGGUAGCCGGCCUGAGAGGGUGACCGGGGACAUUGGGACUACGAUACGGCGCAGAGGCGUACGGGAGGCAGCAGUGGGGAGUAUUGCACAGUGAGCGGGAGCGUGUUAAAGAGGCGCCGGGUGCGGGAUGACGGCCUUCUGGUUGUAAACCGCUUUCGCCUGUGACGAAGCGUGAGUGACGGUAAUGAGUAAAGAAGCACCGGCUAACUACGUG